GGGUUAAGUCCGUAACGAGCGCAACCCUUGUCCUUAGUUACCAGCACGUUAUGUGGGCACUCUAAGGAGACUGCCGGUGACAAACCGGAGGAAGGUGGGGAGUGACGUCAAGUCAUCAUGGCCCUUACGGCCUGGGCUACACACGUGCUACAAUGGUCGGUACAAAGGGUUGCCAAGCCGCGAGGUGGAGCUAAUCCCAUAAAACCGAUCGUAGUCCGGAUCGCAGUCUGCAACUCGACUGCGUGAAGUCGGAAUCGCUAGUAAUCGUGAAUCAGAAUGUCACGGUGAAUACGUUCCCGGGCCUU
rnacentral:rRNA from 1 species